rnacentral:rRNA from 1 species
ACGGGGUGCAGCAGGCGCGAAAACUUCACACUGGGGGGAACCCCGAUGAGGGAAAUCCUAGUGCUAGGACAUUUGUUCUAGCUUUUCUCAAGCGUAGAUAACUUGAGGAAUAAGGGCUGGGUAAGACGGGUGCCAGCCGCCGCGGUAAUACCUGCAGCCCAAGUGGUGGUCGAUUUUAUUGAGUCUAAAACGUUCGUAGCCGGUUUGGUAAAUCUUUGGGUAAAUCGGGAAGCUUAACUUUCCGACUUCCGAAGAGACUGUCAAACUUGGGACCGGGAGAGGCUAGAGGUACUUCUGGGGUAGGGGUAAAAUCCUGUAAUCCUAGAGGGACCACCGGUGGCGAAGGCGUCUAGCUAGAACGGAUCCGACGGUGAGGGACGAAGCCCUGGGUCGCAAACGGGAUUAGAUACCCCGGUAGUCCAGGGUGUAAACGUUGCAGACUUGGUGUUGGAGGCCCUUCGGGGGCAUUCAGUGCCGGAGAGAAGUUGUUAAGUCUGCUACUUGGGGAGUACGUCCGCAAGGAUGAAACUUAAAGGAAUUGGCGGGGGAGCAC